rnacentral:rRNA from 1 species
UCGGGAAUUUUGGGCAAUGGGCGAAAGCCUGACCCAGCAACGCCGCGUGAAGGAUGAAGUAUUUCGGUAUGUAAACUUCGUAAGAAUAGGAAGAAUAAAUGACGGUACUAUUUGUAAGGUCCGGCUAACUACGUGCCAGCAGCCGCGGUAAUACGUAGGGACCAAGCGUUGUUCGGAUUUACUGGGCGUAAAGGGCGCGUAGGCGGCGUGGUAAGUCAUCUGUGAAAUCUCCGAGCUUAACUCGGAACGGUCAGAUGAUACUGCUGUGCUAGAGUACAGAAGGGGCAAUCGGAAUUCUUGGUGUAGCGGUGAAAUGCGUAGAUAUCAAGAGGAACACCUGAGGUGAAGACGGGUUGCUGGGCUGGACACUGACGCUGAGGCGCGAAAGCCAGGGGGAG